GAAUGGGGAAAGCAAGGGACACUGGAUUUUAGGAGUUGGUGCUCCCAGCUGCUGGCAGUCACUUCUAUCUAUCACAGUUGCUGGGGCCUAUUUUUGAGGCAUGCUGCUGCCCCCUUGAGGAGGUUGUGUGCACUGCUUCUUGAAGUUCAUUUCACAUCAACUAGGAAAUCCAGAGAUGACUUCCAGCUAAAGCAAGAAGCUUGGCAAUCAGCAAAUCCAGGCAGCUGAUCCCGUUGGCUUUCUUUUUUUAAAACCUAAAAUCUGAAAAC